rnacentral:sRNA from 1 species
CUCUCUAGGUGCUGUGCCCUGUGGUGGGGCGGGCCUGCGUCCUUCCCUAAAGCACAGCCACGUCUGGGUCCGGCACCUGAGCACAGGCCGAGAGGGCCUUCCACGGGUGACACCUUCCGGAAACCCUUUGAUGACAGAAAACAGCCAGUUUCUUUAGAAUGAAUUGGUCAGCUUCUAAGAAUCAGCUACAUAAAUCAACUAGAAGCUUAGUAAAUAUAUAUUGAUGUUUAUCCAAGCAGGUUUUAAUAGGAAUAACCCAUGUCUCUGACCUGCAGCAAGGCAAGACCUAUGUCUUCAGGGUCCGGGCAGUCAAUGCAAAUGGCGUGGGGAAGCCCUCGGACACGUCGGAGCCCGUGCUGGUAGAGGCAAGACCAGGCACCAAGGAAAUCAGUGCCGGUGUCGAUGAACAAGGCAACAUCUACCUGGGCUUCGACUGCCAGGAAAUGACAGACGCGUCUCAGUUCACCUGGUGUAAAUCCUACGAGGAGAUUACAGAUGAUGAGAGGUUUAAAAUCGAAACCGUGGGGGAUCACUCCAAGCUGUACUUAAAGAAUCCGG